rnacentral:rRNA from 1 species
ACGGGUAACGGGGAAUCAGGGUUCGGUUCCGGAGAGGGAGCAUGAGAAAUGGCUGCCAGAUCUAUGGAUUGCAGCAGGUGCGUAAAUUAUCCACUUUUGGCAUAAAGAGAUAGUGAUCAUAAAUAGCGGAUUCGGGUAUUUGCCUGGAGAUCGCAAUGAAAUAAUCGUAAAAGCUUUAAUGAAUGCAAUUGGAGGGCAAGUCUGGUGCCAGCAGCCGCGGCAAUUCCAGUUCCAAUAGUGUAUACUAAAGUUGCUGCAGUUGAAAAGCUCGUAGUUGGAUCUCGGCUUGCUAGCGUGUGUGAGCGCGCAAGUAGGCCUUUGCUGUAGUUUCACACUACGGCUUUACCUUGAACAAAAUAGAGUGCUUAAAGCAAGCAUUCUGCUUGAAUAUCUCAGCAUGGAAUAAUAGAAUACGACUUUUCUGUUGGUUUACCAGCAAAAGUAAUGAUUAACAGAGACAGACGGGGGCAUCCGUAUUGCUCCGUUAGAGGUGAAAUUCGUAGAUCGGUGCAGGACGUACUACAGCGAAAGCAUUUGCCAAGGAUGUUUUCAUUAAUCAAGAACGACAGUUGGAGUAUCGAAGUCGAUUAGAUCUCGUCGUAGUUCCAACUAUAAACGAUGCCAACUAGCACUCCGCUGGUAAUAUUUUUUUUACACUAGCGGGUGGCUUCCGGGAAACCAAAGUCUUUGGGCUCCGGGGGAAGUAUGGUUGCAAAGCUGAAACUUAAAGGAAUUGACGGAAGGGCACCACCAGGAGUGGAGCUUGCGGCUCAAUUUGACUCAACACAGAAAAACUCACCCGGGCCGAACACAGUAAGGAUUGACAAAUUGACAGCUUUUUCUUGAUACUGUGGGUAGUGGUGCAUGGCCGUUGUUGGUUGGUGGAGUGAUUUGUCUGGUUUAUUCCGAUAACGAACGAGACUCAGACCUACUUACUAGUCGUUAGAUUAUCGUUUAACAACUACUAAGAGGGAUCAGUGUCAAAAACACUUGAAAAUGAGCAAUAACAGGUCUGUGAUUGCCCUUAGACGUUCGGGGCCGCACGCGUGCUACAAUGAAGAAAGCAAUGGGUGUCUUGCUUGGUAAAGCCGGCUUAGCCUUAAAAUUUCUUCGUGGCAGGAAUCGAGGCUUGUAAUUAUUCCUCGUGCACAAGGA